rnacentral:rRNA from 1 species
ACUACGGGUGGCAGCAGUGGGGAAUAUUGGGCAAUGGGCGCAAGCCUGACCCAGCAACGCCGCGUGAAGGAAGAAGGCUUUCGGGUUGUAAACUUCUUUUCUCAGGGACGAAGCAAGUGACGGUACCUGAGGAAUAAGCCACGGCUAACUACGUGCCAGCAGCCGCGGUAAUACGUAGGUGGGAAGCGUUAUCCGGAUUUACUGGGUGUAAAGGGCGUGUAGGCGGGGACGCAAGUCAGAUGUGAAAACCACGGGCUCAACCUGUGGCCUGCAUUUGAAACUGUGUUUCUUGAGUACUGGAGAGGCAGACGGAAUUCCUAGUGUAGCGGUGAAAUGCGUAGAUAUUAGGAGGAACACCAGUGGCGAAGGCGGUCUGCUGGACAGCAACUGACGCUGAGGCGCGAAAGCGUGGGGAGCAAACAGGAUUAGAUACCCGGGUAGUC